CACGUAGGGCGCAAGCGUUGUCCGGAAUUACUGGGCGUAAAGCGCACGUAGGCGGAUUUGUAAGUCAGGGGUGAAAUCCCGGGGCUCAACCUCGGAACUGCCUUUGAUACUGCAAAUCUCGAGUCCGGAAGAGGUGAGUGGAAUUCCUAGUGUAGAGGUGAAAUUCGUAGAUAUUAGGAAGAACACCAGUGGCGAAGGCGGCUCACUGGUCCGGUACUGACGCUGAGGUGCGAAAGCGUGGGGAGCAACAGG
rnacentral:rRNA from 1 species